CUCUCUCUCUCUCACACACACACACACACACACACACACACACACACACACACACACGCAUCUGUCAGCUUGCCCAGGGCAGGAGCUAGGAAGUGUAAUUAACAGAUUGGAUAAGACAAGGUGCUCAUAUGCUAAGGCAGAGCAAAACAAACUAACACAGGCAGUUCAUGUGGCCCACCAUGACUUGGCCCAUCCAUCUGUUUGGGACACACACACACACACACUGUCACGGAGUUACACCAAAUCGUGUCAGUGGGCUAUACGGAACUUUUCUAAUAUGCACGAUGGCCCCUGACAAGAACAAAUGCGUCUAUAAACUAGUAACCUAACAGCACACCAUUCCAUGACAUGUGUAGGUAGCCGUAUAUUCGAUGUGUGUAUAGAUAUGUUAUAAAUACCAAAAGGCCAAAUGAAACAAGCUAAGGUGAAACGAAAGCUCUCUCUCCAGUCCAAACAACGAGGGCAGCCAACCUCGCCCUCUGUAAAUCAUGUCAACAAAACUUCAGACAGACAGUGACGCUAUCAAACCUCGCAUUUCACAUGAGUCAAGCAGCAAUCGACAACAGGUUUGAGGGACGGUGAAGUAAGAUUUGACUUUGCUGUUUGUGAGAAACUAAGUUCGUGUGGCAGAACUUGACAGAUCAGUGGGAACACGCGGUAGGAGGUUGCAUGUGAAACUUAAAAACGCACUUUGUAACUCUCACUGAAGCAUUUGCUAGCUAGCUAACCCAGCUCACAUAUCCAUCUACCGACACUUAACUCAGGGGCAUGCCACAACUUGUCACGAUGCCAGCGCGCAUAAUCAUCUCACUCACUUCCAGUGACUAAUACACGGUGCGUGUUUCGUUACAAAACAUAGCUACCAUAUGACUUCUCCUAAACUCUUAAAUGUCCACCUGCGUUGUGGUUUCCCUACAACAAUAACAUAUUUAGCAGCCGGGAAUGUACAAAAACACCGUUUCCAUGUCGCUAACCUAUUUGGCGAGCCCUGUCGCGUAGUUAGCUCCAUUACGUUACCUGCACAGAGGGUGUUUCCAAAGACAGCUUAGAGAUACACUUUAUCAACUGUUUUUUUUUUUUUCACCGUGAGCUGAGUAAUGAUUCACAAGUUAGCUGCUACUAGAAUCUAAGCCUUUCUCACUGAGAAUGUUUGCGAUCGUCAGUUAUGGCUGUUUGGCUAACAGGAGAACCUCUCGCAAGUAACGUUAAACAGGAGGCUAAAGCGAGCUAAAUAACAACAGUAUAACAAAAGAAGGCUGUGCUGCUCUGAUGGCAGUUCUCUUAUCAAACCCAUCACACCUGACAGAGUCUGAGUGGGAAUAAACUAAGAAACACAUCAGCAAAGCACAUCUCUGAUCUACUGAAGGACUCACGCUGUAAACUGGAGAAACUGAUGCUUAAUGACAACAGGAUAAAAGAAGAAGGCUGCACUGAAAGGGAAUAAACUAGGAGACUCGGAAGAUUUCUGCUCUAAAUGACAAUCAUAAUUCUAAACUACAGACAUUGGAGUGAGUGAAAUAUUUGACAUAAUGUAAAGUGGAAUACUGUACAGAAAUACUGAUGGCAUUCAAGUGAUAUAAUGGAGUAUGAAAUAGUGAGUAAUGAAACAUAAAUAUUGAUGAUAGACUUAGAGUGCCCUCCAUGGCUUGAUUUUUCCUCAUUGUUUUUAUUGUGAGAUUACGAUAUAUCACCAAAAGAUGAUUUUUUAUAACUGUUUUUGGUCAACUUUGCCAGGGGUGCCAAUAAUUCUAAAGGGCAUUGUAUGUAGUAAAUAUACAUAAUUAUACAACAGUUAGGUCCGGUCCAGUCCAAUCCAACGAUCUAUUACAUAUUUCUGAUUGGACGAGAGCCGUUGCAGAGUUGGGAGAUCCCAGGACAUCCCCAUUCAGACUCACCACUCAACCCAGUCUCACGUCUGAACGUGUCACUGUCACGUUAAUUAAUCUAUUGGGACGUGUUGUGUAACACGUUUCCUUGUUAAAAAACGUGUUGAGCAGGACGUAAUUAUCGUGUUACUAUCACGUUGUAUUUCGCAUUCAAUGAGCCAACAGAACCACGUCAUCUGUCAAAAAAGCCCGACCCAAAAUGGCAAGAAUGUUAUUUGAUGCUUUUGACGUGCAGUUUCAUACUCUUAAGCCUGCUUUGAGUUGUGGGUUAGAAGGAGCCACCUUCUAGCUAGCAGUUUUAAAAGGCUGAACCCCAGAAUCCAGAAACAAGAUCCGAGCAGGGACGGAGAAAAAAGAAGAAUCCAAAUGGGAAAUGAGGUGAGCCUUGCUACUGCCGCUAGCAUGAUCAUUUUGCUAGCAAUUGAGCAAAAC